GACGAACGCUGGCGGCGUGCUUAACACAUGCAAGUCGAACGGAAAGGCCCCUUCGGGGGUCCUCGAGUGGCGGACGGGUGAGUAACACGUGCGUAACCUGCCCUUGACUUCGGGAUAACUUCAGGAAACUGGGGCUAAUACCGGAUAGGAAUCCUUGCUUCAUGGUGGGGGUUGGAAAGCUACGGGGGGUUUGGAUGGACUCGCGGCUUAUCAGCUUGUUGGUGGGGUGGUGGCUUACCAAGGCGUUGGCGGGUAGCGGGCCUGAGAGGGCGACCGGCCACAUUGGGACUGAGAGACGGCCCCGACUCCUACGGGGGGGAGAAGGGGGGAAUAUUGCACAAUGGGCGCAGGCCUGAUGCAGCAAAGCCGCGGGCGGGAUAACGCCCUUCUGGUUGUAAACCGCGUUCAGCAGUGGCGAAGCUCGUGGUGACGGUACCUGCAGAAGAAGCACCGGCUAACUACGUG
rnacentral:rRNA from 1 species